UCGAGAAAUCGGGAAAUCGAGAAAUCGAGAAAGCGAAAACGCGAAAUCGAGAAAGCAAGAAAGCAAAAACGCGAAAGCGAAAACGGGAAAUAGAUUUCUCGGUUUCGCGUUUUCGCUUUCUCGAUUUCGCGUUUUCGCUUUCUCGAUUUCUCGAUUUCCCGAUUUCCCGAU
rnacentral:sRNA from 1 species